rnacentral:rRNA from 1 species
AUGUCGCUGAUAAAGGACACGAGGGCAGCGCAGGAAGUGCCGGCGCUGGAGGAGUUCUUCGCCAUGAUCGCCAAGGACUCGGCGCGCGCUUGCUACGGGCCCAAGCACGUCGAGGUCGCGCAUGAACGCAUGGCCAUCCAGACCCUCUUGCUCACGGACACUUGGUUCCGGAACCCCGACGUUGCUGGCUUGCUGCUAGGUGCAAGUGCGUCGAUUUGGCCGAAUCGGUGA